GGUGGUGGAUAUAUCAGGGCCAGCGGGGAGGUGGGUGCAGAUGCUGCGGGGCUGAAGGAGGCUGAGGCCAGCAGCACCCCCCUCGUGGCACAGCAUCCAGGAAGCAUGAGAGGCCUCCAUCUGGUCCUGCUGGCGGUCCUGCUGUGCUCGGACCACGUCCUGAGCCUACAGUGCUACUUCUGUCCUGGGGUCCAGACGAUCACGCAGUGCGAUGCCGUGACCUGUAAAGAGGGACUGA